GAAGUUGCUGCCUGGGACGCCCUUAUGCAGGACAUCGCCCUCCUCCCUAUGGACGGCGUUGACUCCCCGGAUGUCACUUCGUGGCGGCUUGAGCCCUCCGGCUGCUUCUCCACCAAAUCCCUCUACGCGGACAUCGCCCCCUCGACGGCCCCCGAACCCUUUAGCUUGAUUUGGGAUAUCCGCCUGCCCUUGAAGAUCGGGAUCUUCAUAUGGCAAUGCAUUCGCGGUCGCCCCCCAACGGGCGUGGAGGUCCGUAAGCGUAAUGGACCUGGGAAAGGGAUGUGCCCCUUGUGCGAUACGGUGGAGGAUGCUAACCACAUCUUCUUCUCGUGCCCUACGACCCAGUUCCUCUGGUCCUGCUUCCGCGAGACUGUUGGGGGCCAGUGGUGUAACAUCAACUUCCCUGACCUGCUUGCGGAAAUCCAUGCUUCUCCCCUCGCUACCGCCAUAUCAGAUGGCUCUGCGUUGGGGUCCUCGCCUGGACGAUCUGGACUAUUCGCAAUAAGCUUGUCAUUCAGAAGGUCCCUCUUCGACGUGCUACUGACGCCAUUUUUAAAAUAUGUGGAUACUUGCAGCUCUGGCGGCUGCUUAGCCGCCCCCAGGAUCGGGACGUCAUCAACAACCUCAUCGCCGACCUUCGCUCGAUGGCCUUCAGCUUGGCGCCCCCGCUCCUCCCGCCACCACCGGAGCCAGACUAGAUGUUGUGCAGCACCCUCCAUGUGCGUGCCUUUUUUGCUUUUCAGGGCUUGUUGA
rnacentral:rRNA from 1 species